AGUGAACGCUGGCGGUAGGCCUAACACAUGCAAGUCGAACGGCAGCACAGUAAGAGCUUGCUCUUACGGGUGGCGAGUGGCGGACGGGUGAGGAAUACAUCGGGAUCUACUUUUUCGUGGGGGAUAACGUAGGGAAACUUACGCUAAUACCGCAUACGACCUACGGGUGAAAGCAGGGGAUCUUCGGACCUUGCGCGAUUGAAUGAGCCGAUGUCGGAUUAGCUAGUUGGCGGGGUAAAGGCCCACCAAGGCGACGAUCCGUAGCUGGUCUGAGAGGAUGAUCAGCCACACUGGAACUGAGACACGGUCCAGACUCCUACGGGAGGCAGCAGUGGGGAAUAUUGGACAAUGGGCGCAAGCCUGAUCCAGCUAUACCGCGUGGGUGAAGAAGGCCUUCGGGUUGUAAAGCCCUUUUGUUGGGAAAGAAAAGCAGCAGGUUAAUACCCCGCUGUUCUGACGGUACCCAAAGAAUAAGCACCGGCUAACUUCGUG
rnacentral:rRNA from 1 species